UACGUAGGGACCAAGCGUUGUUCGGAUUUACUGGGCGUAAAGGGCGCGUAGGCGGCGUGACAAGUCAAUUGUGAAAUCUCCGGGCUUAACUCGGAACGGUCAAUUGAUACUGUUGUGCUAGAGUACAGAAGGGGCAAUCGGAAUUCUUGGUGUAGCGGUGAAAUGCGUAGAUAUCAAGAGGAACACCUGAGGUGAAGACGGGUUGCUGGGCUGAUACUGACGCUGAGGCGCGAAAGCUAGGGUAGCAAACGGG
rnacentral:rRNA from 1 species